CUGGAUUUGGGCACUUGAUGAAAAAAAUCAUCUCCGAUAACAUGGUAUAUGAUCUUUCUGACCAAUCCAUAUAUCGGCUAUAUGGACCAAUCUUAUAAUAAACUAAAGGAAAGCGAGGAAAGGAGGAGCAAUCAUGUCGAUGAACGCCGGCAUCCACCAGUCGGAUAGUGAAGUUAUUGUAGUUGAUGGCCUGCACAUAGUAUCUUCCUCUGAAUAGAUUUAACACUGUGAAAUUAUUUUCACAAGAAAGC
rnacentral:misc_RNA from 1 species